UAUAAUACAGAUAACCGGGAUAUAAAAUUUACUUUACAGUGACUCUUGGGUCCACAAGGAACAAAAGUGCACAAAGGCAGUAAACCUACAGUUUUUGUAGUAAAGCUAACCAUAAUCCUUGACGAUAUCUGCUAUCCAAAAGCUACCUAGGGUCUGAAAUGGGUGACAACGAGGGUGGUGAGAUUAUAAAAUCUCAAUGAGUAAACAGAUACCAUCUAAACCAUCUAAAGUCGAGUAAAUGGAGAUUGAUAAAACAAUUUAACAUACUGAAAUUCAUCACCUUUCAACUUGUUUCAACCAAAUAAAAUCAAUUCAUAUAAAUCAAGUAAUUAACAUUGCUUAUGAAUUUCUUAAAACUUUGGCUCGUGUCAAAAUUAUUAUCAUACUCAGCCAUCAGGGAUACCUUUACCGCGGGCUAUCCCAAACCGAGUCCGCCAAGGCUAUUAAAAAGUUAUGUGCUCAUAAAUCAUGUUUUUUAUUUUGAAAAUAUAAUUGUUCCUUGGCGUUGGCUAAAUUCGCCCUCAUGUGGUGGUUUGGCAUGAAGUGAACUCUAAAAGUUAUACCUUAGGAGUUACCCCACUCGCCUCUCCAAUCGAGGUAAGAAUAUGACCAGGUUUCGUGCCCCUCUAAUAGGCUAGUCCAUAGAACCAACCCACUACAACAAGCUAAACCCACCAUACAAUAAAAUUUGCAACAGCAUGACAUGGCAAGUUUAUCAUUAUCCAGCCUAUCAAGGCAAACAACAGUUUAUACAUUUCAACAAAAAUACCAAUUCAACCAUUCAUGCCAAUAUUGUCAUAAGCCAAUCAAUUAGAACCAUAAAUUCACAAUACAUCAAAUGGUCUCCAAUUACUCUAUUUAAAAAGCCAUUAUUCAAUUUUAAAACAAUUUUAUGAAAUCAUUUCAUUAAAUCACAUUUGGUUUAUAAAACCAAAAAAUUAAUCAUUUAACUCAUUUUCCAUGAAAUUCACAAAAUCGAAUAAAAACCACUUUAGAUAAUUAAGACGAUAGUAAGGUUACUCACAGUACUAGGAGUUCAAUAUACUCCUAUUUUCGAUCUUCAAGCAUAAUCUCUUUACCCUUGUUAGAGGGCUCACCACCUAUACAUCAUACGUGACACGAAUUUCAAUAAAUUGUGUCAAUUUAUUAUAAACUAUUUCAGGCUCUAUAAAUCUAUAUGAAUGCAUGAAAUGUGAUGCAAAAUAUCCGAAUAGCCGGUUAAACACGGUAUUCGACCAAAUUCGUACUAUUCUCGAUGUAUUUGGCUAAAACCUCCAAUUUAACUCGAAAUCGAUUUCUUUCACUUUCUACACUCCAAUUAUACUCAAAAUACCUCAAUGACUAUGAAUAUGAUUCAAUUUAUCAGUCCGAACCAUAAAUCGUACAUGUCUAUACAUUAGGUAAAAAUUCAGAUUUUCAUGCCAAAAUUUCCCAUUAAAUUUCUAGCCUCACCAAUCAUUAAAUACCACUAGAAUAUCAUGAAAUAUAAUCAAUUUCAGCCUCAAUAUCCUCCCUAGAAAAUUUGGCCUCUUAUGGGUUUGUGAAGAACAAAGUGAUUCCUUGCUAGAUUUUCAUACUUUCCGUUACCAAACAACCAAAAACACUUAAUUAGCUUGAAAUCUAGCAAAAUCAAUGCUCAAAAUCUCUCCUCUCAAAUUCGGCCAGCAUGGGUUCAUCAUGCAAACUUGAGUUCUAAGCAUGGAAAAUGAAAAAGAAAGCAUGGGUAGUGUAAAUCACAAGAUAAAAUCACAAAAUUUUACCUUUAUUAGCUUAAUCCCUUGAAAUCCCACAUUUUUUCUUCAAGUUUCCCACCUAUGGUUUGUGUUCUUUCCUUUCCUCUUCACUUCAUGCUUUGGUCGGCCAUAUGGGUGAGAAAUGGGCUGAUUUUGUGCUAAUUUAUAAGGAAAAUAAUAAAUGGAUGAGAUUUUGACACAUGUCACUAUUCCAUUAGUCCAUGUGUCAUACUUAGCCAAUAAGCAAUCUCUCUCCACCACUUAAAUUUUCUCAAUUAUACAUGAUAAUAUUGGGUAAAAUCCAUGUGCUAGACAAGUGUUGGGUGGUGUAAAAUUACGAUUUUGCCCAUGGGUGGCAAAAUGACUAUUUUACCCCUAUGCUCGAAAAAAUGGCGAAAUUAAAAUUUUCCACUUCUCAAACUCAAAUCAUACUCCAAUGAGUCAAAUCUGAUCAAAAUCUUUUCUAAAAAUUUCCAUUUUGUCCUCAGGUGACAAAAUUACCAUUUUACCCCUAGAACAUGAUAAUUCCAAAUUGACUCCAAUUCAGCCCUCGAACUCCAAAUCAUCAUUUUAAGUCAGUCUGGUGUUUUAAAAUUCUCAAUUUCAUCUUAAGAUCUCUAUUUAGACUAGUUCGAGGCUUAAUUCAACUUAAUAGUACCAUUUGGUACAAUAUCGACUUUUGACGAUUUUUCGGGGCUUUCCAAGUAUGCAAGCAUAUUGUCAAUCACAUGAAGAACAUGGAGAGUACUUAAUAAGGUUGGGCUCGACAGCACUAUCCCCCUUAAAAUAAAAUUUUCACCUCAAAAUUUCAUUUACUGAACUUAGAGAAAUGGUGGGGUAUUGUCUUUUCAUCUGAUGUUCAACUUCCCAUGUCAUCUCUUCCAUUCGAGCAUUCAUCCACAAUACUUUAACCAUUGGGAUGCUCUUAUUCAUUCCUGUACGUAUCCUCAUAUUUAUGUUUACCUUACAUUUAUGUAGCUUCAAUCUUCUUAAUCAUAUUAGUCCAUCGCGUACGACUUAACCGUGCUAUAGAUUACAUUUCCUUGAUAUCAUUUCCUUAACUAUCUCCCAAAGUCUCUUAUGUCCACACAACUCAGCCUCUAAUGGGAUUUCUUAUUGUUACGCUACCUUUAUCACUUGUCAACAAUCAAUAUUUCUCACUUCAGAAUACUCUUUCCAUAUUACAACUACUUCCAAAUUAAUUUUUCUCCAAAAAGGAUGUGCACUACAAUUCCUAUUCAAGCAUUUCAUAAUACAUAAGGAUCAAACACUCUUUAUUUAUCCAUAUAUAUAUUUAACAUCACAGAUAAUCCAAAUUUGAUAACCAUUAGUAACCAUAUUCUCAAAAAGAAAACUCCAGUACUUUCAUGAUCGAGUGCUUAUUAAGUAGAUCUCUUCUAUUACCACGAUAUAUUUAAAUAAAUAAACCUACUUUUGGAUGUAUCCUUAUGGACUUAAUCAAUCCUUAUAAUUCCUAGGUCAUAACCAACUUGUUAGUUAUACGUCACAUACAAACAUAUCUAACUUGUGAUUCCUCAAAUUUUACUCCAAACACUAGAUCUCAUGGCCUUAUUAAUUUAUCAAUCUGAAAAUGAAAAUAAACAUUUAUCUUCCCUCAAGUACACUUUAAAAUCAAAGUAUCAUUUAUCAAAAUAUUUCUGGUAUCAACUUCCUUAAGCCCUUUUUACCUUAGAAGAUUAAAUCCAUAAUCAUCCUUUUUAAGUCAUGGGCUUAUGCCAAUCAAGGCAAAUUUUCACACUUUCGAUUACAUGAAUUCGAUUGCACAUAUUCCAUUCUCAUAUGAAAGUUAACCACUAGUUGGCAUCAUCCCCAAACAACACGUAUUAUAUAAAUCAAAUUUUUAUAGUCAAAGUUCAUAUUGGAGUAAUUCAACCCUAUGUCAUAUCUCAUCACCAAACCCUUAAUUGUACAUGAGUACUUGAGUUUUUGAAUCAUCAUUUCUUUUCUAAGUAGAUCUUUACAAUCCCCGUAGCAUAUUUUUAUUCCCUUACACAUAAUAGUGUCAUUUAAUCAAACCGUAUCACCCUCAUUUUCUAAACGUUCGAAACACAAUUCAGCAUACCAUUAUCAAGUACUUUUCCUUGAUAAUUACUUAAAAAUAAAUUAAAACUUGUGGGGAAGUACAUUUCACAAUUUAUGUUUUGCGUCUACAAUUAUGUCGAGACCAGAACCUCAUUAGGUCCAUAAAACAGUAAGAUAAUCAUUGCCUCAAACCAGUAUUUCCAAGUAUACUUAUGCUUGUAUCCCAUCCUCAUACUUAUUUGACAUGUCAGUCAUGAGUCUAACUUGACUGUAUAGCCAUUUGCUCCUUAAGCUUUAAUGUUUUCUCAUUGCGAAAAGUCUUUCGAAUUUAUCACAUCAGAGUAUUCAUAAGGUGGAUACAUAUCCAUAUUUUAUAGUUCAAGGUCAACGCAGCGAACACUGUCUCAUCAUUAAAGUUCUACCCUUAUCUAUCGAUCAUAGCUCCCUUGCACACUUACCUAUACAUUCUUGGGUUACUUACAAGCCAGUCAUGGCCAUCUAACUUUUGACCUCUUAUAGUAAGUCAAACUAAUAUAUUCUCUUAUGCUUUUCCAUACUCUUCCUUUAAUAAAGUUCCAUUGAGAACUUAAACAAUCCAAGGCUUAUCUUCAAAGUCACUCAUAAAUUUAGUCGUUCAUUGCAUGCCCGAUAACACUUUAGCUCACUAACCCCACUGGACAUAAUUUCAAAAUCUCCCAAGGCAUCCAUGUUCUUAAUUCGGAUCAUACCAUCUAACUUAAUAUAAUUGCAUUAAUUAUCCUUAAGUCCUUAUGCUCCCAUUCCUUCAUGCUAUUGGCUUUGUUAAAGUAUAUGUGGCUUUUUAACCUUUCACACUACAUUCUACAUUUAUGCCAAGGCACUCUCAAUUUCAUGUCCAACCUAUUAUCAUGUAACCAUAAAUUACGGUAAGCUCCCCUAUGGAAUAUCUCCUUCCAUAUGAUGCAUGGGGAUCACAAGAUGUAUAACUCCAAGUGUAUGCCUACAUAUUGAUAAUCUCCAUAUAUUUCAUGAUCAUGGAAACCACAAUUUUCAAAACUAUCUUUUUCUCACAAGUUUGCGAUUGGAACAUUAAUCUCCACAUAUACGUAUACACGCACAUUCAAAUGUCCAUAUUCCUCAUUAUGUAUACGGGUCUCUGUUUUCAAAUACCUUCAGACUAAUUUCUCUUUGUUCAUUUUCAAUUAUAUGUUUAAGUUUCCUUGUACUAUAUAUCAAUGCAUAAUUAUGUCAUCUCCAUUGAAUUAUAAUCUAUUAUGAGUGUAUGAUUUAUAAUCCCAUUAAUACUUCAAAGAUUUAUCUUAACUUGAUCAUUGCAUCUUAUGCAAUACCACAAUUCCUAAGAGUCAUCCUUUUUUCCUCGAUUAUUCUUCAUGCCUCUAUAUUACCUUGUAUCCUUCUUGCAUUCCGAUAUUGAUUUGUCACUUAAAACUCAGACUCAUUUGAAUCAUGUAUGCCUUAAGCAUCUUCAAAUUCCAAUUUCCAUAAUAUAUUAGGAAAGUUUCAUUAUCUGACUUCAUUAUCAAGGUCAACUUCAAUCAUCCUUUGUUCCACUCUUUCAUAUGAAUAAAACAUCAUUCUUCCUUAACCAAUUUAGAAAUUGCACUUGAAAUUGUAAAACUUGAAACUAGAUUCUCCUCAAGUACUUUUCAAUAUUAAUACUAAUAUCACUCUUAGCUUACAGCUUCCUUUUUAUAACCGCAUAACUUAGUGCUUGCUUUCACGAGAUCCCUGGUAGAACUUCUCUUGAGUAUUUCCUUGGGGAUAUCUAUCUUAAACUUAUGUCUCACAACAGGUGAUCACUUAACCCAAGACUUAGCCGUUUAUGUUGCAUCCCCUUCGGGGCCUACUCUGAGGUAUUGUUAUGUUUGGGUCCCCAUCACUUGACUUACUCGCAUACGCAGUGCCUAAGGGCGGCACAACAGGCCUUGCAAGACCUUCUCGCCAAGUUUCGAAUCCCCAAACCUUUUGCCUCCCCCCCCCCCGAAGGGAACACCUUUAACCAUUUCAGCUUUAUAUCCACAUAAUCGACCUUGUGUUGUUACUAGCCCCUUUUUUAUUCAACUGAGUAGAGACAAGAAUUAUAAAUUCUCAUAGCAACACUUUACAUUAACUCAUUUACCAUACCACACUUGUAAUUCGUUAUUCAUACUUCAUCACUUAACAUUGAUAUUCCUCAUCGAUAUCUCAUACCUUCAUCUUUCUUUACACUUAUAUUCACAAUCCUCAUACCAUUAUAAGCGUCACUUAUAUCAUUUCAAGUUUGUAGUUGCAACUGAAAUUUCAAAUUUCACCUUUUCCAUAAGAAAUUUUGAAGUCACUUAUCAGGUAUUGUAGUUGCCCGUACCAUUGAUAAAUUUCUAUGUCAAUUCUCAGUAAUUAUACAAGGCAACUAAUCACACCACUAAGGUGAAUGCCCCUCCUCAAUGAUUAUACCACUAAUCCACUUUUGUCCUACCAAAAAGGUUCCCAUAUACAUAUAUCCAGUCAUUUAAACAACUACCUCAUUCACAUUAUAUAAAAUAAAAGUCAACUCUUAGUUCCUUUAUACAAGUAGUUACUAUUUCCUUUAUACUACAUCUAUCUAGAGUUAAAGUAGUACAACUUCAACAAAAAANAUACUACAUCUAUCUAGAGUUAAAGUAGUACAACUUCAACAAAACACUAUGUAUCUUUAGGGUCAUCAUCACCCUGAUCCUCUUUCAGAUUCUCUUAGAGCUUUCUUUCUCUUUUUUUUUUUUAAUCCGAGCCUGUUGGAUUUUCCUACAUUCCUCAAUUUCUUUCAAAAUGAAAUUUCUUAUACUUUCAUUAACGUCAUUACUAUAGACACUUUCAUCAAUUUCACUAGUACUAGUGUUUUCCUUUAUCCGAACCUUCGCUCCCAAAUCCGAUGGAGUUCAAUUAAUAGGAACUCUAAAUAGAUAUCUUUCUAGAUUACUGGGUUCAGAACGACAUCGGCUCUCAGUAGUGGAAUUUAUUGAUCCCUCACUAGUACAAUGUGAGGUAUCGGAAUCACUGUCUCUCCUAGGCAUAGUAAGUGCAAUCCGUGCACCACAACCUGUACAUAACCAAAUGGUAAUUUCUUGAUCAUUUAUAUCCCACAAGGAUAGGUAGGUUUCUAUAUGCAGAUGUAUCUAUCCAACAAAAUCUAAUCUAACGUAACUUAACUUGGGGCCACACUGACACUAUAACUUUUUUUAAAACAACUUUAAUACCAAAUGUUCUGACCUUUCAAACCAAAUGCUCUGAUACCACUCGAAUUGUCACGACCCGAUACUCCCCUCAAGCUUGUGACAACCGUCGCGACGUCUCGAUAGACAUUCGUUACCCGGACUGCUAACCGAAACCCCUCAAGGCUGUAGUACCAUUUUUUUCAUCUCCCCAGUGAGUAAUCAUCGCCAAACCUUGUUUUCAAAGAAUUUUAAGCUUUUUCCCUUUUAAAACCAUGAAAAAAUAAUUUUCGCCUCAUAGGGGCAUUUUCGUUAUUUUUUCUCAAAAUUUUUCGAACCCGACUAAAGAUGUAGUAGAUGAGUGGAAAACACAUAUUUCAUGAUUAAAAAUAAAUUUGGGUAUCUAAAACAUUUAUUAAAAAUGAUAUUGCAACUAUUUAAAUAAAAUAAAAAUAUUCUAAUUUCUUGUAAAAUAAUAUUUAUAGAGUCAUCGGUAAAUAAUUUUUGUAAUGUAAAAGCUAAAUAAAUUCAUACGUACUAUAAUACAGAUAACCGGGAUAUGAAAUUUACUUUACAGUGACUCUUGGGCCCACAAGGAACAAAAGUGCACAAAGGUAGCAAACCUACAGUUUUUGGAGUAGUAAAGCCAACUAUAAUCCUUGACGAUAUAUACUAUCCACAGGCUACCUCGGGGCCUGAAAUGGGUGGAAAUGAGGGUGGUGAGAUUAUAAAAUCCCAGUGAGUAAACAGAUACCAUCUAAACCACCUAAAGUCGAGUAAAUGGAGAUUGAUAAAACAAUUUAACAUACUGAAAUUCAUCACCUUUCAACUUGUUUCAACCAAAUAAAAUCAAUUCAUAUAAAUCAAGUAAUUAAGAUGGCUUAUGAAUUUCUUUAAACUUUGGCUUGUGCCAAAAUCAUUAUCAUACUCAGUCAUCAAGGAUACCUUGGCCACGGGCUAUCCCAAAUCGAGUUCGCCAAGGCUAUUAAAAAGUUAUGUACUUAUAAAUCAUGUUUUUUAUUUUGAAAAUAUAGUCGUUUCUUGGCGUUGGCUAAGUUCGCCCUCACGUGGUGGUUUGGCAUGAAGUGAACUCUAAAAGUUAUACCUCGAGAGUUACCCUACUCGCCUCUCCAGUCGAGGUAAGAAUAUGACCAGAUUUCGUGCGCCUUUAAUAGGCUAGUCCAUAGAACCAGCCCACUGUAGCAAGCUAAACCCACCAUAUAAUAAAAUUUGCAACAGCAUGACAUGGCAAUUUUAUCAUUAUCUAGCCUAUCAAGGCAAACAACAGUUUAUACAUUUCAACACAAAUACCAAUUCAACUGUUCAUGCCAAUAUUGUCAUAAGCCAAUCAAUUAGAACCAUAAAUUCACAAUAUAUAAAAUGGUCUCCAAUUACUCUAUUUAAAAAGCCAUUAUUCAAUUUUAAAACAAUUUUAUGAAAUCAUUUCAUUAAAUCACAUUUGGUUUAUAAAAUCGAAAAAUUAAUCAUUUAAUUCAUUUUCCAUGAAAUUCACAAAAUCGGAUAAAAAUCACUUUAGAUAAUUAAGACGAUAGUAAGGUUACUCACAGUACUAAGAGCUUAAUAAACUCCUAUUUUCGAUCUUCGGGCAUAAUCUCUUUACCCUUGUUAGAGAGCUCACUACCUAUACAUCAUACGUGACACGAAUUUCAAUAAAUUGUGUCAAUUCAUCAUAAACUAUUUCAGGCUCUAUAAAUCUAUAUGAAUGCACGAAAUGUGAUGCAAAAUGUCCGAAUAGCCGUUCAAAUACGGUAUUCGACCUAAUUCGCACUAUUCUCGGUGUAAUUGGCUAAAACCUCCAAUUUAACUCCAAAUCGAUUUCUUUCAUUUUCUACACUCCAAUUAUACUUAAAAUACCUCAAUGACUGUGAAUAUGAUUCAAUUUAUCAGCCUAAACCAUAAAUCGCACAUGUCUAUACAUUAGGUAAAAAUUCAUAUUUUCAUGCCAAAUUUUACCAUUAAAUUUCUAGCCUCACAAAUCAUUAAAUACCACUAAAAUAUCAUGAAAUAUCAUCAAUUUCAGCCUCAAUAUCCUCCCUAGAAAAUUCGGCCUCUUAUGGGCUUGUGAAGAACAAAGUGAUUCCUUGCUAGAUUUUCAUACUUUCCAUUACCAAACAACCAAAAACACUUAAUUAGCUUGAAAUCUAGCAAAAUCAAUGCUCAAAACCUCUCCUCUCAAAUUCGGCCAGCAUGGGUUCAUCAUGCAAACUUGAGUUCUAAGCAUGGAAAAUGAAAAAGAAAGCAUGGGUAGUGUAAAUCACAAGAUAAAAUCAUAAAAUUUUACCUUUAUUAGCUUAAUCCCUUGAAAUCCCACACUUUUUCUUCAAUUUUCCCACCUAGGAUUUGUGUUCUUUCCUUUCCUCUUC
rnacentral:lncRNA from 1 species